rnacentral:rRNA from 1 species
UGGGGAAUAUUGCACAAUGGGCGCAAGCCUGAUGCAGCCAUGCCGCGUGUAUGAAGAAGGCCUUCGGGUUGUAAAGUACUUUCAGCGGGGAGGAAGGGAGUAAAGUUAAUACCUUUGCUCAUUGACGUUACCCGCAGAAGAAGCACCGGCUAACUCCGUGCCAGCAGCCGCGGUAAUACGGAGGGUGCAAGCGUUAAUCGGAAUUACUGGGCGUAAAGCGCACGCAGGCGGUUUGUUAAGUCAGGUGUGAAAUCCCCGGGCUCAACCUGGGAACUGCAUCUGAGACUGGCAAGCUUGAGUCUCGGAGAGGGGGGUAGAAUGCCAGGUGUAGCGGUGAAAUGCGUAGAGAUCUGGAGGAAUACCGGUGGCGAAGGCGGCCCCCUGGACGAAGACUGACGCUCAGGUGCGAAAGCGUGGGGAGCAAACAGG